GCUAAAGAUCGAAUCGACACGAAUACUUCCAAAUACCCAUAUAUUCGAUAUGUGUCCACCCCUAUUUACAAAUACGAUUUUAUUUUCUUUAUAUGAGAAAUGACUAAUGUCAAGGCCUUUUUAUUUUAAAUUAAUUUUAAUUUUAUAUUUCAUGUAUUAUUUUGAACAUACACAUACAUGUGCACUUUAAUGUGAGCACUUUGUAACUAAGUAUUCAUCACAACUGAAGUAUCUAAUUAUUUUGAAAUUUGAAAUAUUUUUUCUUAAUGCUUCUUUCACUACCGACCAAAUUGUAGUGAAAUGAUCUGUUUUAAUAAUUUUUUUUCUUUUUUUCUUAAACUAUUAUCUGUUUAGAAACUAUAAUAUGAAACUAUUGAUUCGACAUGACGACUAUCUAAAAUUCAUAACAUGAAAAUAAACAAAUAAUAUUAAUUUUUGGUUUUUACCGGAAAAAACAAAAAAAUCAAACAUUUUAACCGAAUAAACUAAAAUGAAUAUUAAUUUAAAAUAAUAGUUAUAUUUUAGAAGAUUAAAAA
rnacentral:lncRNA from 1 species